UAUUUUUUUUGUAUCUUGCAGUUAGGUUAUGCUAUCUAGUGGCAUUGAAGAGUAUAACAGUGAUAGCAUAUAUGACACAUUUAAAGGUUGCUUUUAUUAGCAGAGUAGCCUGAGGAAUUGGACUUGGAACAAGUUUGUUGCUGCUGUUGUUUUACACUCUCCGCCGUGGUCUUCUGUUCCAUUUUUUUCCUGAAAUCAUGGGAAGAAGUAUUAGAUGUUGCUGCACACUCUACGCGAUAUACUUUUAAGGGUCAUGAGACAACUUAACUACCCAAAAUCAUAGUCCAUUUUGAACAGCCAUUGCAUUGCUUGCUAGACGAGCUUGUGAGCUCUAAGGUUUUUUUAUAUUUGGUGGAAGGCAGGCUGAAUCUCUGCCCCAACCAAAUGAAAGUUGGAUAACAUAGGCUAAAGUGUCCAUGUACUGAUAUUUGAAAAAAAGGAGCCAGUCGUAACUACCUGAUUACCUGGUAGUCAAGGAGACAAAGUAUCACUGUUCUUCUCUUAGGGCUCACAACAUCUAUGUCAAUAGUCGCAAGAUAAAGAUCCAUCACUCAGUUCGUUUUGAUCGUGUUUGCCUCUUCCACCGAUCUUCAACAAUAAAAAAAUCCCAAUGACAGAACUUCUUUUGGUUGAAAUCUUUCGGCAUGUGCUUAAAUUUGUUCAGGUAUUUUCUUUAGCUCAUUUUGUCACUGUUUUGCGAGAAUUUAGGUUUAAAAAGAAUAGAUGUAGCAAUUAUUGAAUUUACUUUUCCCAUGUCUGUUUAAUAUGAUAGUCGUUAUCUUUCUUUUACGUUGCUAUGAAUGCGUACAUCUGCUAGAAGAAACAAAAGAUUUCUUGAAUGCCUUUACAUAACAAUUAGUAUUUUUAUGGUAUAUCUUUAAUACCCAUUCAAAGAUUGAUGUCCUUAAAGUUUUCAAACUAUGUAUUCCAACUUGGCAUUUUUAUAAAGAAGCAUUUUAUGCACUUCCAUCACUUGCUGCAUUUGAGCUGCCUUUCCAUUUAUUAUUUUUAGUCGAAGUUGUUCAAACUGCUCAUUUCAAGUUUGUUGCUAUAUGAACUGAUAAUUGGCUGGAUGGAAAGUAAUAAAUCAUCUGUUUUGAUUCUUUUGCUGAUCCCCGUUUCCUCAUCAUUCACUUCCUGUUGUUGUUGCUCAAUAUGUUGUCUACAGGUCUCUUUUGAUAUAAUUGGUCCGUUUUGAGUCUUAUCACACCAUGUACAAUAUUUAUACAGAUCUACUAGUUUUUAAUGUUGGCUUAGAUGAUUAGUUCACCUAGAAAAUGAUGGUGUGACCAACAUCUUUCAGUUGCUACGGACAAACUUAUUCCCUGGCAUACUAACUCUCCCCUUUGCUACAAUAACAUUGUUGUUCUAUGAAUUAGGAUUAGAGGGAAUGCUAUUUCAAUUCGUUGAAUUUUAAUUGCCUUUCUGUAAAAAAGAAUUCGUAGUCUUCCAAUUUUUGAUCCAAAAGGUGUAAGCUUUUUUAAUGUCUAACUGCUGCUCUUGUAUAUUUUUUCCGGGUCUGUAUUGUGAAACCAAUGUGCAAUGCUUGGAUUUAUAUCUACAAACAAAAUGGUGGCGGUCUUGAGAAAGGCUUUUGAAACGCAAAUUUCAAUUGGUUUUCCGGUAGAAACUAUAGCAAUGAUGAAUACUGUUACCAUAUUAUAGGAGGUGCAAAUCUUAAUCUGAAACAAGCUGACGAAGAACCUGAACUCUUGUCACAAAAUCCCUGGUAUGGAAUGGAACCAACUGUAUUACAUGUGUGCUCUUGUACUAAUAAGACUCAAAGUGAAACAGCUGACUCUAAGCUAGAGGUCAGCAAUGAAGUGGUGGGACUUUCCACUUUGAUUGCAUAGCCACCCAAUUAAAUUUUAUAUUCUUUGUUAAGGAACUCUGUGCUACCGUUAAUGUCCCUGUUCUUGCUGAUGAAGCAACAAAGUUUUGUUGUAUAUUUGAUUUGACUCCUCCUGUAGAAACUUUUCACGGCACUUUGAAUGCAGCUUUCCUUUUGUGGGAGGUUGAAGGUAGCUACAUUAAUUGCAGUUGUAUGAGAGCUUCAGUCAACUUUGUCAACUA